ACGAACGCUGGCGGCGUGCUUAACACAUGCAAGUCGAACGGAAAGGCCCAGCUUGCUGGGUGCUCGAGUGGCGAACGGGUGAGUAACACGUGGGUGAUAUGCCCCUAACUUCGGGAUAAGCUUGGGAAACUGGGUCUAAUACCGGAUAGGACAAUCGUUUAGUGUCGGUUGUGGAAAGUUUUUUCGGUUAGGGAUGAGCCCGCGGCCUAUCAGCUUGUUGGUGGGGUAAUGGCCUACCAAGGCGUCGACGGGUAGCCGGCCUGAGAGGGUGGACGGCCACAUUGGGACUGAGAUACGGCCCAGACUCCUACGGGAGGCAGCAGUGGGGAAUAUUGCACAAUGGGCGCAAGCCUGAUGCAGCGACGCCGCGUGGGGGAUGACGGCCUUCGGGUUGUAAACCUCUUUCGACAGGGACGAAGCUUUGGUGACGGUACCUGUAUAAGAAGCACCGGCUAACUACGUG
rnacentral:rRNA from 1 species